CCUACGGGAGGCAGCAGUGAGGAAUAUUGGUCAAUGGACGAGAGUCUGAACCAGCCAAGUAGCGUGAAGGAUGACUGCCCUAUGGGUUGUAAACUUCUUUUAUAUGGGAAUAAAAUGUUCCACGUGUGGGAUUUUGUAUGUACCAUAUGAAUAAGGAUCGGCUAACUCCGUACCAGCAGCCGCGGUAAUACGGAGGAUCCGAGCGUUAUCCGGAUUUAUUGGGUUUAAAGGGAGCGUAGGUGGAUUGUUAAGUCAGUUGUGAAAGUUUGCGGCUCAACCGUAAAAUUGCAGUUGAAACUGGCAGUCGUGAGUACAGUAGAGGUGGGCGGAAUUCGUGGUGUAGCGGUGAAAUGCUUAGAUAUCACGAAGAACUCCGAUUGCGAAGGCAGCUCACUGGACUGCAACUGACACUGAGGCUCGAAAGUGUGGGUAUCAAACAGGAUUAGAUACCCUAGUAGUC
rnacentral:rRNA from 1 species